rnacentral:rRNA from 1 species
UACGUAGGUGGCAAGCGUUGUCCGGAUUUACUGGGCGUAAAGCGUAUGCAGGCGGAGUGUUAAGUAGGAAGUGAAAGGUUGGAGCUCAACUCUAACACGGCUCCCUAUACUGGCACCCUUGAGUGGCGGAGAGGAAAGCGGAACAAGUUGUGUAGCGGUGAAAUGCGUUGAUAUAACUUGGAACACCAAUGGCGAAAGCAGCUUUCUGGACGCAAACUGACGCUGAGAUACGAAAGCCAAGGUAGCAAACAGG